rnacentral:rRNA from 1 species
UGAGGAAUAUUGGUCAAUGGGCGGAGAGCCUGAACCAGCCAAGUAGCGUGAAGGAUGACUGCCCUAUGGGUUGUAAACUUCUUUUAUAAAGGAAUAAAGUCGGGUAUGCAUACCCGUUUGCAUGUACUUUAUGAAUAAGGAUCGGCUAACUCCGUGCC